AAGACAAAUUUUUUCCAGAUUGGCUUGCUGGCUGUGCAUAUUUUCUGAGGAGAGUGCGUUUUGUAGCACAGAAUGCAGAGCAACGAAGAUGAUGAUGGAUGAGAGCAAAGAACGGUGCAGAUCAGAAGCUUUAAGAUCCGUGGAAGUUUCAGGGUCAUCUUGUUCAAGAUAUCAGAUCUUCUCAACUGGGAUUCUUGUGAUUUAGCACUGUCAGUACAUAGGCGGCUUUACACUAAAUACAUUUAUUUGUUUUUAUUUGGAUUUUCUUUUGAACUUUGCAAAUAUGCAGAUUGUGAUUGAGAUUACUCUCACAAUUUGCAAUGGUCUGUAAUAAUGAUUUCUGUAUUUGGACUUGUGGCGGAUGUUGAUUUUCUUAGGUUUUAUUUUAAGGUAUUUUUUAAGUAUUUGAAUGA